UUUUUUUCAAUUGCUCACAUCCAGUCUCUUCAAAAAAUCUCGUUUAUUGCUUUUAGAAUCACAUUUAAUCACAUUUAAAUUUUCUAUACUUUUUAAGAAUUCCACUACAUAAUUCCUACAAACCUAAAUCUCUUUUUCCCCUAACACUUUCCUUCAUGAUUUACUUUGUAAUUAUAGUGGAUCUCAAAUUUUAGCUUAAAUUAGAAUCAUCUGGAGGAUUUGGAGAAACUCUAGCCCCACCACUUAGAGGUGAAGCUGGCUGGGCUUCUGGGUCAGGGGGACUUGGAGAACUUUUUUGUCUAGCUAAAGGAUUGUAAACACACCAAUCAGCGCUCUGUGUCUAGCUAAAAGUUUGUAAAUGCACCAAUCAACACUCUGCAAAAACGGACCAAUCAGCACUCUGUAAAAUGGACCAAUCAGCACUCUGUAAAAUGGACCAAUCAGCAGGAUGUGGGCGGGGCCAAAUAAGGGAAUAAAAGGCCACCUGGGCUGCAACGCAACUUGCUCGAAUCCUUUUUCCGGAAUGUGGAAUCUUUCUUAUUUUCCUUUUCACAGUAGAUCUUCUUGCUUCUCACUUUUUGGGUUCGGAUUUCCGUUAAAAGCUGUAACACUGGGAGAGUCUGCGGCUUCACUCCUAAAUCAGGAAGACCACGAACUCCUCGAGAGAAGCGAACUCUGGACGUGACACUUUUAGGAGCUGUAACACGGCAAAGGUCUGUGGCUUCAUUCCUAACGUCAGAGAGACAACAAACUCACCGGGAAAAAUGAACAACUCCGGACCCGCCACCCUUAGGAGCUGUAACACGGCCAGGGUCUGCGGCUUCACUUCCGAAGUAAGCAAGACCACGAACCCACCAGAAGGAAGAAAUUCCGGACACAUGUGAAAGGAACAAACGACUGACACACCAUUUUUAAGAACCGCAACACUCACUGCGAGGGUUCGUGGCUUCGUUCUUGAAGUCUGUGAACCCAAGAACCCUCCGCAAGGAACCAGUUCCAGGCCCACGGCUAGACUUUCUUAUUCAGCAUACCGGGGGCAGGGAAAAAAGAGAUACUCAAUAUUUAUAUCUUUAAGAAUGUUUAAACGCUGGUAUAGCUGAAAUUGGGAACCAACGUCUUGAAACCCACUGUUCUAAUAAAAAACAGAUGGAUGCAAAAGGACAAUGCGUUGACACUCCAAGUCGACCUGGUGGUGGUCACUGUGCCCUGGCAGGUUUUAUUACUGAACGUGGAAUGAGCCCAGCAAACCUGACCACUUGGGUGCGCUGUGCAUUCCUGUUGCUGGGUGGUUGACUGCCAGUUAACCCUGCCCAGCUUUUUCAGUUUCACAGCGUUAGAAUUCCCGAUUUUUAGUGGUGCACACCAAGCAUUGUAUUGACUGUUUCCCAGAAUCCGUUGCAGUUUGGUGAGUUCGUUGACUAAAUUCCAACCAAUGGGAUGAGUCAUAUCGAUAGAGAAAAGGAAGGCGAUCCCAUGUUGGUCAUUUCUCUUCUCCUUUGUGGUUGGAAUAUGGGCAUUGCAGAAAGCCGCCUUAAGGCUGGCAUAUAAGGAAGCUAGAUGGAAACAUGUUAGCAGUGGACAAGACACCACAGCAGCCGAGGGAGCUUUGAGAACUGAACUGAUGGGCAACACCAAAAACAAUCCAAGCCUAAACGCAGCAGAAUACUGACACACAGGAUGAGCAACAGACACCUGUUGUACACCAGACCUGGAGGGCCCGGAGACAUGGAAGAGAGCCCCUCUGUUGAGAAGGCACCAUCUAAGGUGGCCCGUGGGGUCCAGCCCACCACAGCAGGCACAGUGCUCGCAAAGCCACGAUGGAAGACCCAG
rnacentral:lncRNA from 1 species